UGUUAUUUCCCCUGGAAUUUCCCCAGAUAAUCUGUUUACUGCAAGAUUAAUGAUCCUUAACAGACGAAGAUUUUUGUCAUAUUUGUAUGCUCUUCCUUUCCAUCCAAUCAGGGCCCUAUCAGCAUACUUGGCUUGAAAACCGCCACCUUCUCCCCAAGAUGCAGAAAAAUUGUAACCAUAUAUGUUAUUGUUGUCGUCUAACUGUUUUCUUGACAUAUGGGUGAAAUUCUCCAGGCAAUGGGGUAUGGUUCCUGAAAUAUUGUUUACGGAGAGAUCCAACAACAGAAUAUUUUGUAACCAACAUAACUGAACUGGUAUGCUUCCAUGAAACUCAUUAGACUGUAAAUUGAAAAAGACCAAAUUAUGCUGGCUUUCCCCGAUCCAUGCAGGUAUUUUCCCGGAUAAUCUAUUAUAACUAAGGUCCAAAAAUCUCAGCCGACUGCAAUUCCUUAAGGAUAAAGGUAUUUCUCCAGAGAAGCUAUUAUUUCGUAAACUGAAUGUUUGGAGCUCAGAUAGAGAUCCCACAGAGGUUGGAAUUUUUCCCGAAAAUUUGUUGUCAGCCAAGUUCAGGACAAUCAGUUGUUGUCCAUUCGUGAAACAAUCAUCAUCAAUGAAUCCAGACAAUAAGUUAUCUGAGAGGUCCAGAAAACUGAAUUUCCUGCCUAUUGUGUUGCAUACCGAAGAGAUGGAGCCCGAAAAUCUAUUUUUAGAAAGACUCAAUGAUAA
rnacentral:misc_RNA from 1 species